AGGGGAGUAGCUCAAUUGGUAGAGCACCGGUCUCCAAAACCGGGGGUUGCGGGUUCGAGUCCUGUCUCCCCUGCCA
rnacentral:tRNA from 1 species